ACAAAAUUCCAAGCGACAUACGCACAUGCAUACAUACAAGCCCACUUGUAAACAGAGAAGCGCCUGAUUUCAAAGUGUCAGCACAAUUGGAAAGUCGUAAACAAAAACGCAACAUGAGAUUCAAGACACUUUCUUUUGGGAGGCUGAACAGAACUAUACGAAGAAAUAGUUCCAUACAUAAGAACCACCAUUUUUAUUGCACCGCUAGAGCUAAGAGGAAGAAAAGCUGGAAACUGAACAUUUCCUUGCAAAUUAAUCGAUGUCCCAAGCUUUAAGAGAUCGAUAUCAUCUUCAAUCGGAAUAAAUCUACGGAUCAGUCAGUUGAAUUAAAAAAUUUAUUCAAUAUUCCCCGCAAUUCAAAUUGAAACACACAAACAAAUGAAUGUACCUAAAUCCUUUUUUACCUAGCGAGCAAGCGAUCAUAACUAGGGAAACAUAUGUACGGUUUUUCCCCUAUAAUUGAUGGCAAUCUGGUCCCAAUAAAUCCUUUUCACCCAUUUCGCGCCUGCUAAUUGCCAAACAAAAUGCAAUGAUUCAACCCAAAACUACGCUUUCUUUUCCUAGCACAAAAGCAACUUUUUACCCCUUUAACGGCCACAAUUUCCCUU